rnacentral:misc_RNA from 1 species
CUCUUUAUGACGCGUUUCAAUGGAGGCUGUUGUAGCUGAAACUUGUUCACAUAUAUCUAAUCUGAUCUCUAAAUUUCAUUUCUUUUCACUCUAUCCUCUGAACAAACACAAGCCCAUGUUCUCUCAUGUCUUAUUCUUCUUCCUCUUCUUCUUUGUCUUCUCUGUAUCCUGCUUUAUCUCUCUCUUUUUCCUUUAUAAGAAUUUCAGCAGGCCAAAGCGAGAGGAACAGAACCAGAACGGUGAAACUUCAGUUAUAAACUGUUCUUUGUCCAAAAUAAUCGAUGAAACUCACAAAACCCGUGAAAAUGACUCGAUCCAUUUGACUCAUUCGCUUCUUCUGGACAUCUUACCGUCCGAUUCUCCUAAAUGGGCCACUCUGUUUGGCAAUCAGCCUGAUGAAACGAGUUCGGGUCAUGACAAUGAUAGAGACGGGUCUGUAGGGGAUUCCCAGAAAGUGAAAAAGAAGAAAAAGAGGACGAAGAAGAAGAGAUUGGAUUCCAAGAGUGGAGAAAAUGGGGUUGAAGAUAAGGGCUUAGAGAGACAAAGAGAAGGUUUGGAUUCGGGGUUGCGGCAGGUCAAGCCGGAGUUAGUUUGCUUGUACCCUUUUACCUCAACGAGUAGUGCCACGCAAAGGAAGAUCAAGCAGCAGUAUGAUCAGCU